GCACUUUGAGAGAUAUCACCAAUUCUCUACACUGCAUGAUAACUUGUAAAAUGUUUACUUCUUUAAACUUUUAUUGAGCUGCUGGUUGUUUGUUUCUUUUUUUUUUUUUUUUUUUUUUUUUUAGGAAACUAUCAACAGAAGGACAUGAAAAUACAGUUUAAAUUAUUUUUUCAUAUAAAUGGGUUUUGAAUGUAGUAGUAACUUCCUGGGAAACAAGAAGGCUUAAGGAGUUAUCAUGAACAAUGCAGUCAAUGUCUCUUCUGGGUGUUUAACAGAAAAAAGAACUUGUUCAGCUGUACACGAGAAAUUCUUAUAUGAGACUGCUAGAGUAAGAGGAAAGGACCUUUCUCAGAGGCAGAGAUUGCAGAUAACGUCAUGCUGAAGAGACAGGAUGCAAAGCACAAAGCUUCCGGGGUACCCACGGGGCACCACGAGAAACUUGGCAGGCUGCAUGAUUAAGAUCAGUCAAGAACACAACUGUGGAGAUCUCAACCACUGGGACCAUUGCUGUGCACUGAGAUAACCAAAAAAGGUAGAGACUGAAAGAAGACAGUGUGAUUUGAAAUUAAUCAAGAUGUAACAACUCCCUUCUGUAGGCUGUGGUUGGGAAUUCUCAGCUGAGCUGAGUGUGCCAAUGGCUGAUUCACAACUGCUGGCUUGUUCCUUCCCUGACCUAACGCUGUGCUCUUCUCACAGCUGCUGAGCUGCUGAUAAAUCCUCUGAAGUCUAAAACCUUGAGUUGCCUGAGGAUAAGGGAGCCCUGACAGUCUGCACCAGCUGAAGAUCAGUCCCUGGGUGUCUGAACCCUACAGGGAGUGUUUUUUUUCCAGUGAGCAAGAUGUUUGAGGGAACUGCAGGGAUUGUGAUCUGAGAAUACUGAGGGGAAGCAACAGCCAAGAUUCAAAUAAUAGUUCCUUUGGUGGCAGCUAACACAUUUCCUGACUGCAGUGCUGUCCAUGUAACUUGAAAAGAAUUCUGAAUGAGUCUGUGGUAGAAUAAACUAGUUAAUGAGAUCAUGGGAGAGGGCUUUUUUUUCCUUGAUGACCAACUGUUGUCUUGUCUGGUGGUAAUAAAUACACAACAACCACAAGUAAUGGAAGAGCUUAUAAUUGCCAGCAAUACUGGAUCCCAGGCUUUCUUUUCCAUGGGCCACACGGUAAUUCAGAGGAAGGACAGGCUGAAAGCAAAACACAGAUUUUCCCUUCCAGCAUGGCCUUUUGCAGCACUUCUGAAAAAAAAAAAAAAAAGGUCUUUGUAGAGUAUUUAUUUCAGUUAAUCUUUACAGACCAGUUAUACAACUCAGGAAAAGUAUGUGAAGGAAAAGAUAGGAUGCUUUCCAUAAGGAUGGCUGGGCUUGGUAGGAAGAUCUGCUUCUGAUUAACAUGUCAAGAAGGUACUGAGGUUGAAAGAGCAUUUUACUAGACACUUUUAAAGGAAACUGUUUAGAAAAAUGCCAUGUACUGACCUCUGAGAAAGAUCUCCAGACUCAGUGUUUCCUUCCAGUUCACUCUGAGGUUUCUACCUUUCUUCUGUCAUGCACUCACUCAAUAGCAAUAGUAAUAAUAGCAAUACUUUCUGUGCUGCAACACUCUCUACUUCAAAGCACUUCACAAACACUGGACUAGAUUCAGUCUGGUCUUCUAUGGCUAUAAACUUUCUGUUGAAACCCUGGCUCUGUUGUAGUGAAUGGCAAAUUUCCCACUGCCUUCAGUGGGGCUGAGAUUUCACUCACUCCUUGUCAAAGAAUUUGGGCAAAGCAAACCUUCUGAAAGAGGUUAAUGUGAUAGCUGAAAGGAGAUGAAACCUUUCUUCAUUUCAGGGAACACAUAAAUUCUCAAAAUGGAGGACAGGCAUAUUCAGACUGUUAGGGGAGUGACAAAGGGAAGAAAACCUAACCAAUUAUUCAUCUCACAGUGUCUCUUUUCUCUGAAGUCAAGCAUUAGGACAGUUCUCUGGUUUUGUUGUGUGCUCAAAUUUGUAAGUCUCUGGUAUUUAUAUAGAUAUGACUAUGGUUAAACAGCUACUUGACUUACUAACUUGGUUAUAGCUUACUGACUUGAUUACCUUAGUUUUCCAGUACUUUUGCUUAGCAUUGUCACUUGCACUUGUUCAUAUCAGAACAGGAGGGCUUUAUGCCCCUUUACACAGGGGCAGACUAGUCAGUAGUCAGAUCCUUGCUCACAUGCAUGCUCAAAUGUGUUUUACUUUUUUAACAUCUAAAACACUGCCAGUAUCUUGAAUAUUUUUAGUCAUUUUUAUCACAUUGCUCAGUGAAGACAGCCUUUAAAGUCUUUUUGGACCAAAGAUGAUACUGUAUGUUUUCAGAAGUAUAUUUAGAGGUUGUAAAUUGUUAAAUGUUUAUUUUGUAUGACUAAACAUUGCUUUUACAGUUUUGUGAGCCCAAAGAAAUUACUAACCAUAUUCAAGGCUGAAGAGGAAACAUAGCAUGGAAUAUCAAAACUGAACAGUGAGGAAGAUAUUAAGAAAUAAAAAUGCUUUAAAAAUUAGUUGAAACAUUGAGUGAUGGCAGCCAGCUAUAUUUGCUCCUUCAGAUCAGGGCUCUGAACCUGAAAUCCUUAUUCAGGGUAGAAUUUGUAUGAUGUUACCAUCUGCCUUUGCUUUUGAAUGAUCCUACUGAACAUUUCUACCCUCCUGGGGUAAAUAAACUCCAUCUGUCCAACAGUGUCUGUUACCUGAGCUGCUUUCAUUUUCAGCUUCCAGUUGGUACAUCCUGAAUAUGCCAAAGAGCAGUCCUGACAUCUUGGCCUUGUUUUUCUUUCUGCUCUUCCAUGUGUGUAUCUUAUUACAUGGAAGUAUGCUGAGGUAGUUUGCCAUGUAAAAAUGUGAAGAAAAUUGAAGGAAGACUUCAGAUUUUGGCCACAGUUGUUCUACAUUUUUUUCCCUAUGUAUAAGUCUUUACAGCACAGCCAGAAGAGAAUGUGGAAACAGCUGAAAAGUAAGUUGCUCUUCUCCUCCUUAGGUCUAAAGUCAUAAUUUCUCUGCGUACUUUGGAAAAGCUGCUUUCCAAAUAUGAGCUUCACAGAGUUACUGUGGCCUUGUAUAUGCAUUCUGUGCCUCAUCACUAGGAGCAGCUGAACUAGUUUAAAUUCUCAAAAGCAAUGAGAAAUUCACUAGAGACAAUAAAUCAUAGACAUCAUGAACUUCUGACUAGUGUGAAGUCAUUCAGAAAUAUAUUUCCCACCAGAUCUCUGCAGUCUGUGGUAUUCCCAUCAGGUGAUUAAUCCUCUGUCAGGGUGCAAAAGAAGACAAGGAAAUACAGCAGAUAAGGAAUACAACACUGAUUAUGCUUCCAGACUCUUUGGGUGAUAGAAACAGACUGCAAUUAGUUGCAAUGCCUUGCACUGUAUGCCUUUUAAGAAUUCUAAAUUAUGACUGAAGUGAUAAAGUGCUCUGCAGUAUAGAUGUGCGAAUGAAUGUAGGGGUGUGUAGGUGUAAAGAAUAAAAAAUAAAACCACUGCAUUAUCUUUCCUGACCAGCUGAAAAUACGUAUUUUUUUGGUAGUUAAAAAGUUUUCAUUUUUUAUUUUUAUUUUUUUUCCCUUUGGGCUGGGAAAGCAGUCCCUGUAGUGUAAGAGGAACACACAUUAUUUGAAAUUGUCUGUUACAGUGAUUACUGUCACUAUUGGCCUCUGAGUGUGCUUGCUCUCAUAGGAAAACUUGGCAGCACUGGAUGUUACCAGAUGCUCGAAGGCUGAGUAAAAGUGGAGAGGAGCACAGGUGUAUAAACCCAGGAGAAAGAACAACUCAGUGAACAGGAAUUAUGAUCAAAUACAAGAAAGAAGAGUGGGUUGGUGGUGUUUGAGUGAAAAAUGCAAUUUUUCUGUUGCAGAGCUUGAAGAGAUCUUUGACUGAAAUCAAAGAAUUAAAAGAGUGGAUGUCCUUAAACACUUUUUCCCUGAAGGAAAAUGUGGUGGUGAUUGCUGUUUGACCUGACUGGCACUGUCUGAAUGGGAAGGGGAAGGGAUGAUGUUUGGAGCUAUCAAUAAGGAUUCUGAUUAAAAUACUGCUUACCUCAAAGAAGCAAGGAAUGGAAGGUGGCAGAGUUAGCUGACUGGCUUUUAGAUUUGACUCCCUCUGGAGUCAACAGACAGAGUCUCUCUAGCAAUUCAGUUAUAUUGACAGAAGACAUGACCUUUCUGUGGUAUUCAGAGCAUUUACACUGUCUGACUGAUUCUACUUAUGUCAUCUGUUAUGGUGCAGUUUGGAGGAACCCAGGUUCCUCAUACUGCCAGCAUAGAGGAGGUACAUGUGAGUGCUCUAAGGAGAGGAUGAAACUGGCACAAAAGAAAUUCACCCUGAUACCAAGAGCAUCUUUGAAGCAAAUGCCUGCUGGAAGUUACAGUAUCAGUGCUUUGUCUUUAUUCCACUUGCACAUCCAUUUAACCUAUAUAUAAUGUUAUGUAUAUCCUCCUAAUGUGAAAUAUUUAACCUCUAAGAACCCUUUGUAGAUACAGCUUUGCCUUUUCAUUUCACACACCUAAACCUUCACUCAUAUUCAGACAUCCUAUACCCACACAACCUGUAUGGGGCAUCCACUUUUAAAUAAUAAGACACAUAAUUAGCCAUUAAUACACUAGAGGUUAAUGAGUAGGUAUAAUCUCAUUACCGUAAUGGGAGUUACAGGUGUAACUUGUAAGCAGCCCUAGGCUGCCAAAGAGUGCAAAGGAGUUACUGCUACCUUUAAAUAAAAGUUAAAUAAACAUGA